UACGUAGGGUGCAAGCGUUGUCCGGAAUUAUUGGGCGUAAAGAGCUCGUAGGCGGAUCGUUAAGUCAGGGGUGAAAUCCUGGAGCUCAACUCCAGAACUGCCUUUGAUACUGGCGAUCUUGAGUUCGGGAGAGGUGAGUGGAACUGCGAGUGUAGAGGUGAAAUUCGUAGAUAUUCGCAAGAACACCAGUGGCGAAGGCGGCUCACUGGCCCGGUACUGACGCUGAGGUGCGAAAGCGUGGGGAGCAAACAGGG
rnacentral:rRNA from 1 species